CCAAUCUCGACUAGUAUUACCAUCCGACGCGGACCACUAUCGCGUCCACCACCGCGGUACCUUUCGCGGCCCUCCUUCGCGGCCCUCCUUUCGCGGCCCUCCUUUCGAUCGACCCCCGCGAUCGACUGCCCAGUGACGACGACCCUAAUUCCUUUGUUCGCCGCUCUCGUGUGUUUGUCGCACGGAAAACUUUCCAAAAUAAAUAAGAGAAGAGAGAAAAAGUGAAUGAUUCGAGAAGAACAAAAACGAUAAGUAAGAUCAAAAAUAAGUGUGGACGAUAAAAAGGACGAAAGAAAAUGUCGAGAAAAAGAGGGAAGCCAAGGAGGAGAA
rnacentral:lncRNA from 1 species